UACGGGGGGAGCAAGCGUUGUUCGGAUUUACUGGGCGUAAAGGGCGCGUAGGCGGCCAGCACAAGUCAGUUGUGAAAUCUCCGAGCUUAACUCGGAAAGGUCAACUGAUACUGUGCGGCUAGAGUGCGGAAGGGGCAACUGGAAUUCUUGGUGUAGCGGUGAAAUGCGUAGAUAUCAAGAGGAACACCUGCGGCGAAGGCGGGUUGCUGGGCCGACACUGACGCUGAGGUGCGAAAGCGUGGGGAGCAAACGGG
rnacentral:rRNA from 1 species